AUUGAACGCUGGCGGCAUGCCUUACACAUGCAAGUCGAACGGCAGCACGGGAGCAAUCCUGGUGGCGAGUGGCGAACGGGUGAGUAAUAUAUCGGAACGUGCCCAGUCGUGGGGGAUAACGCAGCGAAAGUUGUGCUAAUACCGCAUACGAUCUAUGGAUGAAAGCGGGGGAUCGCAAGACCUCGCGCGAUUGGAGCGGCCGAUAUCAGAUUAGGUUGUUGGUGAGGUAAAAGCUCACCAAGCCUGCGAUCUGUAGCUGGUCUGAGAGGACGACCAGCCACACUGGAACUGAGACACGGUCCAGACUCCUACGGGAGGCAGCAGUGGGGAAUUUUGGACAAUGGACGAAAGUCUGAUCCAGCAAUGCCGCGUGCAGGACGAAGGCCUCGGUUGUAAACUGCUUUGUACAGAACGAAAAGUACUUUAAUAACACUAGAGGCGUCAUGACGGUACUGUAAGAAUAAGACACCGGCUAACUACGUCG
rnacentral:rRNA from 1 species